ensembl:lncRNA
CUUCACAUGAAGUUAAAUCACAACAACAAUAUGAUCUGAAAACUGCAUUGGUUUGUCUGUAAAGCUGCAGAGGAGACUAAUGCAUGCAGUCUGCCCUUGAAAAAAUGACUAUUAACGAACCAAAAAAUACUGCUACAUAAAACAGCAAUCCCUCUGGAGGCUCCUGUCAAAGGUUCCUGGUGAUUUUGGAGCAGAAGAACAAUGCAGUACUGGAGGACUUCUGCUCCCAGCAGCUCCUGGGCUCGUUUCUCAAUAUCACACUGUUGUGAUUGUUGAUCUUCCAGAUUCAGGACCAUUAGAACGGCGUGAGGUCCAGGAGACGAGAGAAACAGCGCUGUUGUGAAGGUCUGUCUCUCUGUGUCCUCCUCACAGAGGUUUG